AAAAGUUUUGGUCCUAAACUUGCCAUUGUUUUUAACCAAGAUUACACAUGCAAGCCUCAACGAACCGGUGAGAAUGCCCAUAAACCCCUAAACAGUCAGCCGGAGCGGGUAUCAGGAUCAACUCUACCAUUUAGCCUACAACACCUUGCCACGCCACACCUACACGGGCCACCAGCAGUGAUUAACAUUAAGCCAUUAGCGAAAGCUUGACUUAACUAUGGUUAACAUGGUCGGUAAAUUUCGUGCCAGCCGCCGCGGUUAUACGAAAGACUUAAGACAAUGCCCCCGGCGUAAAGCGUGAUAAGAGAGACAAUUACUAACAUUAAAGGCAAACUACCACAAAGCCGUAAAACGCCAACAAGGAAAGGAAGCCCAACCAAGAACAGCCUUUAAACAACGAAUUACUUUACUCACGAAAACUACGAAACAAACUGGGAUUAGAUACCCCACUAUGCUUAGCCCUAAACAUAGACAAUACACACACAAUAUUGUCCGCCAGAGAACUACAAGCGAAAAGCUCGAAACUCCAAGGACUUGGCGGUGCUCCACACCAACCUAGGGGAGCCUGUCCUAUAAUCGAUACCCCACGUUAAACCCUACCACCCUUUGCCAGUCAGCCUAUAUACCGCCGUCGUCAGCCUACCUUCUGAAAGAAAAAAAGUAGGCAAAAUAGUUAACAACUAGAACGUCAGGUCAAGGUGUAGCAUAUAAGGUGGCAGAGAUGGGCUACAUUAUCUAUUACAGAACACACGAAUGAUAUAAUGAAACAUAUACCUAAAGGUGGACUUAACAGUAAGAUAAACAAGAAAUGCUAUCUUAAGCCAGCUCUGGAGCGCGCACACACCGC
rnacentral:ncRNA from 1 species